rnacentral:rRNA from 1 species
CGGCGGACGGGUGAGUAACGCGUGGGUAACCUGCCUCAUACGGGGGGAUAACAGUUGGAAACGGCUGCUAAUACCGCAUAAGCGCACAGUACCGCAUGGUACGGUGUGAAAAACUCCGGUGGUAUGAGAUGGACCCGCGUCUGAUUAGCUAGUUGGUGGGGUAACGGCCUACCAAGGCGACGAUCAGUAGCCGGCCUGAGAGGGUGAACGGCCACAUUGGGACUGAGACACGGCCCAA